rnacentral:rRNA from 1 species
AGAACGAACGCUGGCGGCAUGCCUAAUACAUGCAAGUCGAACGAGCUCUUCGGAGUUAGUGGCGCACGGGUGCGUAACGCGUGGGAAUCUGCCCUUGGGUUCGGAAUAACAGUUGGAAACGACUGCUAAUACCGGAUGAUGACGAAAGUCCAAAGAUUUAUCGCCCAGGGAUGAGCCCGCGUAGGAUUAGCUAGUUGGUGAGGUAAAGGCUCACCAAGGCGACGA